rnacentral:rRNA from 1 species
GCAGCACAGAGAAGCUUGCUUCUUGGGUGGCGAGUGGCGAACGGGUGAGUAACAUAUCGGAACGUACCGAGUAAUGGGGGAUAACUAAUCGGAAGAUUAGCUAAUACCGCAUAUUCUCUGAGGAGGAAAGCAGGGGACCUUCGGGCCUUGCGUUAUUCGAGCGGCCGAUAUCUAAUUAGCUAGUUGGUGGGGUAAAGGCCUACCAAGGCAACGAUCAGUAGCGGGUCUGAGAGGAUGAUCCGCCACACUGGGACUGAGACACGGCCCAGACUCCUACGGGAGGCAGCAGUGGGGAAUUUUGGACAAUGGGCGCAAGCCUGAUCCAGCCAUGCCGCGUGUCUGAAGAAGGCCUUCGGGUUGUAAAGGACUUUUGUCAGGGAAGAAAAGGUUGUUGCUAAUAUCGACAGCUGAUGACGGUACCUGAAGAAUAAGCACCGGCUAACUACGUGCCAGCAGCCGCGGUAAUACGUAGGGUGCGAGCGUUAAUCGGAAUUACUGGGCGUAAAGCGAGCGCAGACGGUUACUUAAGCAGGAUGCGAAAUCCCCGGGCUUAACCUGGGAACUGCGUUCUGAACUGGGUGACUAGAGUGUGUCAGAGGGAGGUAGAAUUCCACGUGUAGCAGUGAAAUGCGUAGAGAUGUGGAGGAAUACCGAUGGCGAAGGCAGCCUCCUGGGAUAACACUGACGUUCAUGCUCGAAAGCGUGGGUAGCAAACAGGAUUAGAUACCCUGGUAGUCCACGCCCUAAACGAUGUCAAUUAGCUGUUGGGCAACUUGAUUGCU